AUGGCGGCGGUAACAUGGUGGGGGUAGAGUUGGCGCUUCUCUGAUAAUCUAGGACUCUACUCUACUCGUCGGAGUCAACCUCCACAAGAAGAAGAUGAAAUUUAAAUGGCACGAUUGAACACAAGGAAGAACGAUGUUUGAUUAAAUCGAUGUGGAAUUUUUAAUGAAGUAAGUAAUAAUAUUCGAGGAGAUCGCUGAUAUAUAAAGUACCAGUGAAAAGAACUAGGUUACGUGUUGCUUAUACUAUGGCACAAUCAACAACAAGCGGAACUUCCUCACGACGAUAUAUGAGGGAGCCCGAGAUGCCCUCCUCAUCACGUUAUAUGGACAGCGAAUGGGAGUCCAAGGAGGCUUUACGACAAAGGGAACUUGAAGAGGCAAGAGCACGAGCGGCACAAAUGGAAAAAACAAUGCGAUGGUGGUCAGAUUGUACUGCUAAUUGGCGUGAAAAAUGGAGCAAAGUUCGAAAUGAGAGAAACGCAGCUAGAGAUGAAGCAAAAGCUCUCAGGGCAAAAUUAGAAAUUGCUGUCAAAGAUGCGAACACUUUCAAACAUGAGUCCCAAGAAUUGGAACUGCAAAAUGAGCAACUAAAGAAAGAAAUGGAAAAGAUACAUAUGAUACUCUUGAAACAUGCUGGGCAGUUUGACCAACAGAUCUUUACCAUUUUAGAAUCAGACCCACAAUUGAGAGCUACCUUUGGGUUAGACGAACAGUUGGAGUUUUAUAGUAACAUGGAAUCCAGUGAUACAUUAAAUACUCAAAGAAAUAUACUUUCCUGUAAAACUUUGCAUGAAGCAUCAGAUGUUGCUUCAGGUCAUAAUAUCUUGCCAGAAAGGGAUAUUGAGGAGUAUGUUUUGCAAGGUGCAGUCCCAAAACAUGCAGUGGAAUUAUAUAAAGAGAGUCCUAGUGAUUCACUAGAUAAAAAUAUCACAAAACUAGUCGUGGAUAGUAAUGCUAAAAAGGACACACUAGAGAAGCAACAAUUGUCUUUAGAUGUGUAUAACAAAGAAUCCCUAACACAGAAAAUGUCAACAUUGCAACUUAAACUGGAAGAAGCAACAAAAACUAUUUCUGUAGAAAGAGAGGAAAAAGAUUCUUUACAUCGUACUGUGGAAAAAUUGAAAGCUGAGCUUAAACAAUUAAGGGAACAAUGUGAGGAACUGUGUGAGAGUAGAGCAGAUACAAUGAGAGAAUUGUCUGAGUUAAAAGAGCGAUUUCAACUUGAACUUAAUGAUGAACAUAUAGCUGAUUUAAUGGAUGAUACUAGUAAUGGAGAGGGUAUGGAUCGUCGUUUAAGUGAAUUGAGAACAGAACUAGAAAGACUUCAAGUUGAAAAUGCAGCAGAAUGGAGUAAAAGGGAGAGAUUAGAGACUGAAAAAAUUUCUUUGGAACGAGAAAACAAGCUGCUUCGUCUAAAAUUAUAUGAAUUGCAAGAGAAAAUGGAAUCACGGCGACCACGACCGGUAUCUACAGCUGACACAGACACGAGGCAAUUACAGCAUGAAAUUCUAGUUCGCAACAUGGUAUUACUUGAAGUGAAGCAGUAUCAAGCGGCACUGAAACAAUCCUUAGCAGAAAAAACAACAGAGUUAUCGCACGCGAUGAGACGGUCUGAGCAAUAUGAGGCAGAAGUGAAGCGAGUGAGAGCGAGAGUCGAGGAGUUGAAGAAAGAACUGGCCGCUGCUCAAGAUGAAGUCGAUGCAACUACGAACAGCGUACGAAAAUUACAACGAACCAAUGAGGAUCUUAUGGAACAAUUAGAGUCUGCAAAUGUGCAACUAGAGCAUUUUAGAAAUAGCAAAAACGAAUCAUGUGCAGCAGAUACUGAUGUAAAUGGAGCAGGAGAACAAAAGUUCCAAAUAAACAAUUCCGAUGAAUACGCUGAAGUUUAUGAUCGACAGCAAGCCUAGUAUUCGCUCGUGUCGAUAGCAAUGACGGGUUUAAAUCAGAUAGUAAAAAUGCAAAUUGGAUAGGUGAUCUUUCAGCGGGCCUAAAGUACACAAUUUAACUUUUUUUUAUAUUUAUCUAUUGAACGUGAUUCUUCGACGAAUUGUACAUGUCGAAUAAUUAUUGUGAGUUACGCGUUUAUCGUGUUUCAUGAUAAACGUAAAACAUCAAUACUUCCAGUAGCAUACUGGUGUACAUAAAGAUAUAUUGUGUGUGUAUAUAUAUUUACACAUAUGAUACAUAUACAUAAUGAAACUAUGUUUCGUCGCCUCGAAAAAGAUUAGCGAAAUCAAUUAAUGAAAUACAAUAUGUGUACAAGAUACGAUACCUGAUAUUUAUAAUUGAACUUUUUAUCUCAAUAUCGAAAAUCUAUAUAAUAUAAGUUUAAAAAAGCAAUACUCUACAAAUUUACCACAUCACAAAUAUGUUAAAUUGUAGAUAGAGAUAUAAAACUUGAACAAACCUUCACACACACACACACACACAAUAAUCUACAUCAAAUCUCGAAAAAAAAAGAAAGAGGAGAUUGUUGUUCAUUAUAUUUAUUAACUGGUGAGAAAAAAAAAGACGAAAAGACAUUUUUCU